rnacentral:rRNA from 1 species
GACGAACGCUGGCGGCGUGCUUAACACAUGCAAGUCGAACGGAAAGGCCCUGCUUUUGUGGGGUGCUCGAGUGGCGAACGGGUGAGUAACACGUGAGUAACCUGCCCUUGACUUUGGGAUAACUUCAGGAAACUGGGGCUAAUACCGGAUAGGAGCUCCUGCUGCAUGGUGGGGGUUGGAAAGUUUCGGCGGUUGGGGAUGGACUCGCGGCUUAUCAGCUUGUUGGUGGGGUAGUGGCUUACCAAGGCUUUGACGGGUAGCCGGCCUGAGAGGGUGACCGGCCACAUUGGGACUGAGAUGCGGCCCAGACUCCUACGGGAGGCAGAAGUGAGGAAUAUUGCACAAUGGGCGGAAGACUGAUGCAGCAACGCCGCGUGCGGGAUGACGGCCUUCGGGUUGUAAACCGCUUUCGCCUGUGACGAAGCGUGAGUGACGGUAAUGGGUAAAGAAGCACCGGCUAACUACGUG